rnacentral:rRNA from 1 species
AUCAUUCACAAUGGGGGAAACCCUGAUGGUGCGACGCCGCGUGGGGGAAUGAAGGUCUUCGGAUUGUAAACCUCUGUCUUUAGGGACGAAAAAAUGACGGUACCUAAGGAGGAAGCCACGGCUAACUACGUGCCAGCAGCCGCGGUAAUACGUAGGUGGCAAGCGUUGUCCGGAAUUACUGGGUGUAAAGGGAGCGUAGGCGGGGAGACAAGUUGAAUGUUUAAACUAUCGGCUCAACUGAUAGUCGCGUUCAAAACUAUCACUCUUGAGUGCAGUAGAGGUAGGCGGAAUUCCUAGUGUAGCGGUGAAAUGCGUAGAUAUUAGGAGGAACACCAGUGGCGAAGGCGGCCUACUGGGCUGUAACUGACGCUGAGGCUCGAAAGCGUGGGUAGCAAACAG